rnacentral:rRNA from 1 species
GAUGAACGCUGGCGGCGUGCCUAACACAUGCAAGUCGAGCGGAGAUGAUGAAGUUUCGAUGGAUUCAUCUUAGCGGCGGACGGGUGAGUAACACGUGAGUAACCUGCCUUCUUCUGGGGAAUAACACAGAGAAAUUUGUGCUAAUACCGCAUAAAGUCACGACUGGGCAUCCAGAUGUGACCAAAGGAGCAAUCCGGAGGAAGAUGGACUCGCGUCCGAUUAGGUAGUUGGUGAGGUAACGGCCCACCAAGCCUACGAUCGGUAGCCGAACUGAGAGGUUGAUCGGCCACAUUGGGACUGAGACACGGCCCAGACUCCUACGGGAGGCAGCAGUGGGGAAUAUUGGGCAAUGGGGGAAACCCUGACCCAGCAACGCCGCGUGAAGGACGAAGGCCUCGGGUUGUAAACUUCUUUGAUCAGGGACGAAACGAAAUAGACGGUACCUGAGGAACAAGCCACGGCUAACUACGUG